GGAACCGUAAUCUGCAUUUCUUAAAAGAUCUCUAAGAGGGAGGUGGGAAACAAAUGCCAGUGGGCAAGGGGGAAACAGGGAGACAAUUUCAGCAACCAUUUCAAUGCCCUAAGAAGGAGAUGGCGAGGAGUGAAUGAUCUUGGUGGCCUGGCAGGUGAAGAAGGAGGAGCUCACAUUGUUGACAAUUAACCCGAUCCAAGAGACCUGCAUAAAUCAAUCACUACAGGAAAAAAAAAAUUGUUCUUGAUCUACAGUGACAAAUGUGUAGACAAGGAUAUUAACUGGCCUCAUUCCUCCUCCAUCACCCUCACUGAGG
rnacentral:lncRNA from 1 species